CCUACGGGGGGCUGCAGUGAGGAAUAUUGGUCAAUGGACGAGAGUCUGAACCAGCCAAGUAGCGUGAAGGAUGACUGCCCUAUGGGUUGUAAACUUCUUUUAUAAAGGAAUAAAACGAGGCACGUGUGCCUUUUUGCAUGUACUUUAUGAAUAAGGAUCGGCUAACUCCGUGCCAGCAGCCGCGGUAAUACGGAGGAUCCGAGCGUUAUCCGGAUUUAUUGGGUGUAAAGGGAGCGUAGAUGGGUUGUUAAGUCAGUUGUGAAAGUUUGCGGCUCAACCGUAAAAUUGCAAUUGAUACUGGCAGUCUAGAGUACAGUUGAGGUAGGCGGAAUUCGUGGUGUAGCGGUGAAAUGCUUAGAUAUCACGAAGAACCCCGAUUGCGAAGGCAGCUUACUAAGCUGUGACUGACAUUGAUGCUCGAAAGUGUGGGUAUCAAACAGGAUUAGAUACCCGAGUAGUC
rnacentral:rRNA from 1 species